UACGGGGGGGGCAAGCGUUGUUCGGAAUUACUGGACGUAAAGGGCUCGUAGGCGGCCAACUAAGUCAGACGUGAAAUCCCUCGGCUUAACCGGGGAACUGCGUCUGAUACUGGAUGGCUUGAGAUUGGGAGAGGGAUGCGGAAUUCCAGGUGUAGCGGUGAAAUGCGUAGAUAUCUGGAGGAACACCGGUGGCGAAGGCGGCAUCCUGGACCAACACUGACGCUGAGUGAGCGAAAGCCAGGGGAGCAAACGGG
rnacentral:rRNA from 1 species